CUUCGGUCGCAGAUGGCUCCCUCUCGGCCACAGUUUUACUCCCUCUCCGUCGCAUGUCACUUUCCCUAGUCAGAAACACCAAGGCGUCGCGUAGAGCUAGGGCUUCUGCGACUCCAACCGAGGCGUCUCUUGUCUGCUUCGCGAAAACGGCCACAAUCAGGUUCCUGCGGUUGAAGUUUCCGGGGAGCUGUCGACCCACUGUCCGUCCACAAUCAGUACUUGGAAGAAAAAGAAACAUACUCCGACCUCGGAGCAAAAUCCUCUCUCAUGUCUUCAAAGCGUAAAGUUCUUGUCAAGGAGAAGCUGCCGGCGUCUAAAUCGGACAAUCAGCGAAAGAAUAAUGAGGAAAGUCCCUCGCAGCCCAAGCCUGCCCCUCCUCGACCGCAAAAAUCUCAGCAAGGGUCUUCGUCGGCACGAUCUGGGUACGAACAUGAGAAGAAGGCCCCGUCUUUGAAGAAGUCGAAAACAGUGCCAUCCACUUCCUUGAAACAAGUUGAAGUAGACAAGCUCGGACGUGCUGGAAAGGAGUCAAAGAAGCUGGCAUUCCAGAAGAUAUGGCGCGACGACGACGAGAUAACCCUUUUGCAGGGUAUAAUUGAUUACCGUGAGAAGGGCAUGGACCCCUUCUCAAAUGUUAGGGCAUUUUAUCAUGAUGUCAAAGGAUUACUUCGGGAAGGCUUAACGGUUAGUCAAUUGGCCAACAAGGUUUGGGUUUUUAAGAAGAAGUAUAGGAAUAAUAAGGGGAAGGGCAAGGUUGGAGAGGAUUGGGUGUUUUCGAAUUCUCAUGAGGGGAAAUUUUUUGAGUUGUCGAAAAAGAUUUGGGAUGUUGAGAUGCGAGGCAAUGCCACUAGCAGUAGAGAAGAAAUUGGUGUGACUAAGAAUAAGAAGACUGAUGGUGCCGGAAUGUUUGUCGCUUCUCCCCAGUCAAAGUCGGAGGCAUCAAAGUCAAAUGAUUUGCAGGAGCAUCUUGAUAACAUAUCGCAGAUGUGUAGGGUCGGCUUGGACGAGGGAUCUUUGAAUCAGGGGUUGGCAUUGUUGGAGCCCUCAAAGAGGGCGGAGUUGAAAGAAAGAUGGAGUAAAUUGUUCUUUGUUGAGAUGCAGAUGGUGGCGGAGAGAUGCGCACUGAUUGAAGAUCAGCUCAAGCUCAUUUUGGAGGCCUAUUCUCAUUCUACUGAGAAGUAGGUUGUGGGCUUCAGGUUUUUUGAUGGGUGGUAUAGCAUUCUAACAAUGCUGUUUUGUGCACCAUGGUUCUAAUGACUAUUUUUGCUCAUUUUGUAUAUCUUUUUCAGGCUCCAGGCAUUUUGAUGGGUGGCGUAGUGUUCUAACAAUGCCUUCAGAUAAUUGAGCAAAGCAAAGUUUCCAGAUCCUUUCCGUGAAGCCAGACCAGAGCAUGUCAAUUAUUAGGUAGCAGCCACAAAAUAGUUAGGAUAUUUCUAAAAUUUUCUGGAAUGGUGAUUCAAUUUUCAUUUUCAGACUGUUUGGUUACCUGAUUUGAAAUUAUCUGUAUGCUAUCAAGGAGCGUAUGUCUUGGCUGAGGGAGAUUUUAGAUUAUUUUACUUAUAUGGAUAGCAAGGUUGCAUCUUGUCUCGUUGCUUCACGGUGGCCACUGAUCAAAACCAGUAGACAUAUUCUGGUAUGUGAUGCUUCCAUGUUUCUCGUUUGAAAAUAGCAUGCUAUUUUUGUCCUGAGAAAGCAGGAGAGAUUUUUCAUGAAAUUUUGUUUGAAGAUCGUUUUCUGAGAAAGGAAAGAUGUGUCAUAAAGCUGAUGCGUUCAGCUGCAUUGAUGGACCUGUCUGCCAAGAGCUGAUUGGUUUGCUCUAGAGAUGCUUUUAUCAGCAGGUGUUUGCUUUUGAAAUAAUCCUCCUUGGUUUUUUGAGAGAUAUCUACUUUCUUUUCCGGUUCAUUUGUCCUUGACUGCACUUUUAACUAAAGUUGGAUUGCAGUGUUGAGGCAGAAGUAAAAAGAGUCAUGUACUUUGGACUUGUAAAGUCCCCACUGGACCGAUCAAUUGCUAGGCCGGUCCUUGAUUUUCUCUUGCGUCAUUGCCUACGUUUUCAUUAAGAGGUACCGGUGUUUAAUUUUUCUCAGAACGUGAAAUUUUCUUAAAUUAUUAUGGGCCUGAGUAUAGUGCUGAAAGUCUCAGAGUCAAACCUAUUGAAUUGACCUCCUUUAUUAAGUUUCAUGAUUCUUUUCAAUCUUUAGCCUGCAUGAUCUAUUGAAAAUGCGCUAAUGCAUGUCCUUGCUAGAAGUAGCUUUUGGUUUGCACGAAUUUAUAAGUUGCUUGAGGAAAUUUUCUAGGAGAUUAGCAAUAUAUAUUAUUUGGAACAUAUAUGUUAAGUCUCCAAUUCAGUCAAUUACCUUCUGGGUUCUCUGUCAACAACAGAAGGAGACAAACUUGCAGAUUAUUUCACGGUAGUGCUUCCAUCCUGCUUUUGCUUCUUCUUCGCAACAACUAGUGGCGUUUCCAUGACAACAUCUGGGAUUUUUGUCCACGAGUCCUUUGCAGAAGACUUUUUCUUAGUGGAGAAAAUACAAAGAAAUCUUCACCAUCGGGUUCUAAUGACUGGGUCUCAGGAUUCUGAUGUGGCAAAGCCAUCGUCCUUCCUUUUCUUCUUUUUGAACUUCUUGCAAUUCUCUCCGCUUGGAACUUGCUCAACUUUGACAGCAGAACUCCUAUUCAUCACAGAUAAGCAGAUCCCAGGCAAAGUUGAAUUUUUCCUUGUUGCAAUUAUUGUUUAACCACUUUCAUUAG